rnacentral:pre_miRNA from 14 species
CCUGGAGCUGUUGAAUGCCGGUGUAGUAGCCAUCAAAGUGGAGGCCCUCUCUUGGGCCCGAGCUAGAAAGUGCUUCCACUUUGUGUGCCACUGCAUGGGGAAAGCAUCUGCGUCUGGC